UACGGAGGGUCCGAGCGUUAAUCGGAAUUACUGGGCGUAAAGCGCGCGUAGGCGGUUUGAUCAGUCGGAUGUGAAAGCCCCGGGCUUAACCUGGGAACGGCAUUUCGAACUGUCAGGCUAGAGUAUGGUAGAGGAGUGUGGAAUUUCCUGUGUAGCGAUGAAAUGCGUAGAUAUAGGAAGGAACACCAGUGGCGAAGGCGGCACUCUGGACCAAUACUGACACUGAGGUGCGAAAGCGUGGGGAGCAAACAGGAUUAGAUACCCCCCGUAGUCC
rnacentral:rRNA from 1 species